UCCGAUCUCGUGGACUAGUUCCAAUCGGCUGCUUCAAUCUUUCUCUUCCUCGGCCCCCCGCCUCCAGAUUGCAUCCCGUCGAGCAAUCGCCUCGUUAGGCUGCGGUAAUCCCUUCUAUUUUCCGUGACAAUCGCCUUUCGUACUCCUGCGUGGCAACUAAUUUUGGUUUCUUCCGGUCCUUGGAUGAAAAUAUCGACAAUCGGAGGCUAUGGUUUUUGAUUGAUUGAGCUUGUACAAAAAGAAAUGCCUCGGACGGUAUCUCGAUCUCCUUCUUAUAGGAGAAGGCGCUCUCCUUCUCCCCGGUACAGCAGCAGGAGGAGCAGAAGGGAUCGCAGCCGAUCCCCCUAUUCUUAUAGAAGAAGUCGUUCUCCUUCACCAAGAUGGCGAAAGAGUCACUCUCCAAGUCCUCAAAGAAGAGUUAGUCGAUCUCCGCCACCAAGAAGACACAGAAGGCAGAGGAGUAGGAGCAUAUCAAAUUCGGUCUUAAGCAAGUCUGACAGCCCUAGUCUUGAUUUGCAUGAAAGACAAAGAUUGGAAGAGGAGAAGAAACGGUAAGAGUUUAUCUUCUACUCUGGAGAGGAUCUUGAGGCUUUAGUUUAGUCGCAAUACUUCUGUUCUGUGCAUUUUAUGGCGUGAGAGUGCGUGUGAGGAGGAGGGAGGUGGUGCAGCUGGAACCAUUGUUCAAAUUAAUUUGUGAAGCGUGUGUUUGAAGUUUCAACCUUUAUUUUACUUGUAAAUAAGAAAGAUGAAUAUAGCAGGGUCUGUGUUAGCGAAGAAUAAAAAGGGGACACCCUUGACAAUUCCUAUGUUUAGACUGCUACGACACUCAUUCCUUCAAAGCAGUUGAUAACUAAAGUUUCUAGUGUCCUGAAUUUAUGAAACUACUUCACCUUCAGUUAGUGUUCUUUGGUGGGGGACUGGACUUGCUAGCUUGACCAAGUCAACCAAAAUUUGGUGCCAAAUUCAGUAAUUUGGAGCCCUAUAGCAGUUAUAGAUCACUUAACUCUGUUUGAGGAUCAAUCAAACCACAUGACGACCUGGACCAACUGACAUGGUUUUAAUUUUUCUUCUUUAUUUUCAGUCUGGAUUUCCUGAGCUGGGGAGCUAAUGCCCUGAACAACCCAGUGGCAUGUCCCAAUUUAAAAACAGUGCAGUCAGUGGCAUUUGCUAUUUGUUUGCUCGUUGGAUUUUGAAAAGCACUUCUAAUUUUACCUGCACUUCCAAGUGAAAAAAAAUGAAAAAGAAAUAAAAGAAUGGGAAAUUGCACUGUCUCUGCCUUCGAUGGUUGCAAAUUGAGAACUUGUAUAGUGUGGCGGCUGUGUAUUAAUGAUGGAGAAAUUGUUGUGUUUAAGUGACUAGUUUUAAACCUGUACAAGUUACUUGACAUUUUCUUCCACAGGCUAUUCUCAAGGAAGCUACUGGUAUAGUUCAACUUGUUAUAUUUGAUGAUGCAAUUGGUGCCUGCUUUAUCUACUGUUCACCAGUUUGAUAAUUCAUUUGUUUGGAUCUGGAUUCUUUAGAGGUAUGCCUAAAAAACAUAAUCUUGUAUUUUAGGAAGGCUUGGCAAAUCAUGAUUAAUUUAACUUAUCAUGCUGUUCGGUGAUCUAGUUCAAGGCUGUUCAUCUGGCUUAUGAGAAUAUCCCCAGACUACAUUUUGUUGCUUUUUUUUUUUUGACGACAGUUCUCUUGUUAACAUCCUUAUUCCACGAACAGGCGACAAAAGGAAGCAGAACUGAAACUCAUAGAAGAAGAAACUGCUUUGCGGAUUGAGGAAGCUAUCAAAAAGAAGGUUGAGGAGUCUCUAAACUCCGAGGAGAUCAAGCUUGAGAUACAAAGACGAAUUGAAGAAGGCCG